UUGAAUAAAACUUGGUUGUUGGGUUGCUGCUGGCUCUUAGGAGCAUGUGCACACCUACACCAUCUUUUUAAACCACCUGUGCACACAAUGUAGAUCUGAAUGACUGUUUCAAGGAAACUUGAUUUUGAGGACUGCUUAUCAGCUGUUCUUGUGAUUCAGGUCUAUGAUUUAAUAUACUCCUUUUGUAACAAAAGUGAUGGAUUAUUACACCAAAUA
rnacentral:misc_RNA from 1 species